rnacentral:lncRNA from 1 species
UUUCCUCUUUCCAUCCUCCACCCAAGUCCCAAAUAUGGUCUCUUUUCUGAAUCACCAGUGUUGAAAACUUCCUUUUUCAUGUGUGUUCUUGUCUUAAUUUCCUCAUUUGACAAUAACACUAAUAUGUACAACCUACGCCUUACUCAUCCUUGCAUCUCCCACAGAAACCAGCACAAGGUCUUCUACUUAAGAGAUGAUCAAUAAAUAUUUGUUAAACGAAUUAAAUGAAAGCAACAGUUAGCCUGUUAAAAGGGAUGGUCAUUAUUUUAAAGGCCCUGAGGAAUGGCUUAUAUGUCUAGCACCUAAUCAAAAGCUGGUGGACCACAGAAGGAAGACCAGGGAGUGGAGGGGGCAGCCUUGCGCCUCUGCAUAUCUGCUGCCCCUGUAAACUCACGGAAUGCCCAACUCUUCAAGACUCUACAGAACAAAGCUACAGUGUCGGGUGCUGAAUGAACACCUUCACCUUUUUCUAAGUUCUCCAGUCUUGCUUCAAACCAGAAACUGGAAGUGGAAUUAGAGGUGGAAAUUAGGGCCAUCCUUUUCAACUUUAAGGUAUGGCUGAAAAAGUUGAAACAGCCAUCUGGAUAAUUCAGGCUCAAAAAACCCAUCCUGAAGAAUGGGCUACGAAACCUAGAGAAGGAUCAGGUGGCUUGUGAUUUCUCUCCCGAGACAGCGAUCUCUCUCUUCUCCUAACUC